AUGGCCGCUUCCUCAGGUACGGCAGUUAGAGUCCCUUGGUUCACUGCUUUCCGGUGCGUAACCCUAUCAAUGCUGAAAAGGUAUUCGUGGUUCUACAAACACGUCCUGUGGUGUGUGUAUGUGCUUCACUGAAGGUCUGUGUUGGAGACGCCGAGUAGGCACCAGUCUCGCUCACGUUAACCGGAAGGCACGUAGAGGUAAAAUUUAAACUAGGGGCUGCCUCUUCCCGUGUGUGCAGCUCGCGGCAAUUGGGGGCAAUGUGUGUUGUACUCGGUAUUGCUAUGCGAAUGCAAAACCAUGACUAAUGUUUUGUUACCUCUUUAGGAAGAUUUGCCACUGCUGCUUUGCCUACUGUAAUUUUAGUUUAGCUUUUGCCUUGCGAGGUUUUUAGGUAAGUCACCAGGUGGCGUAGUCGAGUACCCUAGAGCCAAGACCUUUGACUGUUACCACUACCUGGUCACGUAAUCAAUAUAAAACAUUCUUCACAUAACCCUGGAUGAUAUUAGAGGUCAUACUGUGCUACACUCUGACAAAAUAUGAAGCAAUAUAUCUUUAGAAAUGACUAUUUACUAUGUGUCAAAUAUUGCAUAGCAUGCUAUGUUUGUAAAGGUAUGUCAGGUUCUCCUGACCCUCUCUGACUGUGUGUGUGUGUGUGAGAUAGUCUAUAUGCUGCGAAACCAUACCUACCCAUGCAUUGUCCUUUUCUCCCUGAUGCUGAUGUCCACCGAGGUGCACAAGAGUACAUCCACAACAUGCAGACAUUCGACUGCAUUAUGGGUGAGAUGAAGCACCACUUCCCGGGCUAGAUUGAGAUCAUUGGACCAUACAGUUCAACCAGUUCGUGCACCACCAAACAGGGGGCAGUGAAGCAGCAUUUGGCCUAGUGUUCAUCUUUCUGACUGUUUUAUUUGUUCUGGCCUCAAAGAGCUAAGUAAAAGAAUACUUCCCACAUUUUGGACAGUGUGAUUACAGA